rnacentral:rRNA from 1 species
AACGAACGCUGGCGGCACGUUUUAAGCAUGCAAGUCGAACGGCAGUGGGGGCAACCCCAUGAGAGUGGCGAACGGGUGAGUAACACGUAGGUGAUCUGCCUUUGGGUUGGGGAUAGCUUGUGGAAACACAGGGUAAUACCGAAUGAGCUGACGAGGCUUUGGCCAUGUUAGUAAAGGUGCUACGGCACCGCCUAGAGAGGAGCCUGCGGCUGAUUAGCUAGUUGGUGGGGUAAAGGCCUACCAAGGCGACGAUCAGUAGCCGGCCUGAGAGGGUGUACGGCCACACUGGAACUGAGACACGGUCCAGACUCCUACGGGAGGCAGCAGCUAAGAGUCUUCCGCAAUGGGCGAAAGCCUGACGGAGCGAUGCCGCGUGAUCGAUGAAGGUCGAGAGAUUGUAAAGAUCUUUUCCAACUGAGGAAUAAGUGGACCAGGGAAUGGGUUCAUGAUGACGUUAAGUUGGGCAUAAGCCCCGGCUAAUUACGUGCCAGCAGCCGCCGCGG